UUGAAUGAACUUGACUUGGUUGCUGCUGGUCUUUUCGAAGGCAUGUGCACACUUUGUCAUCUUUAUAUCUCCACCUGUGCACCUUUUGUAGACCUGAAACCAAAUUUCCGAGGCAACUCGGUCGUGAGGAAAUGCUUAACAGCUUUCCUUGUUAGGUUCCAGGGCUAUGUUUUCAUAUACACCAUAAGAAUGUAACAGAAUGUCAUUAUUAGGCUUAGUUGCCUUAUAAACUAUAUA
rnacentral:misc_RNA from 1 species